AGUGAACGCUGGCGGUAGGCCUAACACAUGCAAGUCGAACGGCAGCACAGUAAGAGCUUGCUCUUACGGGUGGCGAGUGGCGGACGGGUGAGGAAUACAUCGGGAUCUACUUUUUCGUGGGGGAUAACGUAGGGAAACUUACGCUAAUACCGCAUACGACCUACGGGUGAAAGCAGGGGAUCUUCGGACCUUGCGCGAUUGAAUGAGCCGAUGUCGGAUUAGCUAGUUGGCGGGGUAAAGGCCCACCAAGGCGACGAUCCGUAGCUGGUCUGAGAGGAUGAUCAGCCACACUGGAACUGAGACACGGUCCAGACUCCUACGGGAGGCAGCAGUGGGGAAUAUUGGACAAUGGGCGCGAGCCUGAUCCAGCCAUACCGCGUGGGUGAAGAAGGCCUUCGGGUUGUAAAGCCCUUUUGUUGGGAAAGAAAAGCAGCAGGUUAAUACCCCGCUGUUCUGACGGUACCCAAAGAAUAAGCACCGGCUAACUUCGUG
rnacentral:rRNA from 1 species